GAUGAACGCUAGCGGCAGGCCUAACACAUGCAAGUCGAGGGGUAGAGUUAGCUUGCUAACUUGAGACCGGCGCACGGGUGCGUAACGCGUAUGCAAUCUACCUUAUACAGAGGGAUAGCCCAGAGAAAUUUGGAUUAAUACCUCAUAGUAUUAUCGAGUGGCAUCAUUUGAUAAUUAAAGUUCCAACGGUAUAAGAUGAGCAUGCGUCCCAUUAGUUAGUUGGUAAGGUAACGGCUUACCAAGGCUACGAUGUCUAGGGGGUCUGAGAGGAUUAUCCCCCACACUGGUACUGAGACACGGACCAGACUCCUACGGGAGGCAGCAGUGGGGAAUAUUGGACAAUGGGCGAAAGCCUGAUCCAGCCAUGCCGCGUGCAGGAAGACGGCCCUAUGGGUUGUAAACUGCUUUUUAUAUGGGAAUAAACCUCCGAACGUGUUCGGAGCUGAAGGUACCAUACGAAUAAGGAUCGGCUAACUCCGUGCCAGCAGCCGCGGU
rnacentral:rRNA from 1 species